CUGCAGUCGAGCGACUGAUUAGAACCUUGCUUCGAUGACUUUCGCCGCAGAGGGGUGAAUAACACGUGCGCAACCUGCCUGUAACACUGGUAUAACUUCGGGAAACCUACUCUUAUACCGAGAUACGAUCUUCUCCUUCGUGGGAGAUCAUUGAAUCAUGGUUUCCGCUAUCACUUACAUAUGGGCCCGCCGUGCUUUCUCUAUUUGGUGAUGUAACCGCUCACCAGCGACACUAUGCAUACCCCACCUGAGAGGGUGAUGGCCACUCUGGGACUGACACACCGCCCACACUCCUACGGGAGGCAGCUAUGGGGAAUCUUCCGCUGUGGACGAAUCUCAGACAGAGCAACCCCGCGUGCGUGAUGAGCGCUUUCGGGUCAUAAAUCUCUGUUGUUAGGGAAGAACAUGUACGAGAGUCAGUGCUCGUACCUUGACUGUACCUAACCAGAAAGCCAGGGCUAACUACGUGCCAACACCCGCGGUAAUACAUAUGUGGCAAGCUUUCUCCAGAUUUAUUGCGCGUAAAGCGCGCGCGCGCUGUUUCUUAUCUCAGAUGUGAAAUCCCACGGCUCAACCGUGGAGGGUCUUUGAAAACUGGGAAACUUGUGUGCAGAAGAAAAAAGCGGAUUUCCACGUGUAGCUGUGAAAUGCAUAGAUAUGUGGAAGAACACCUGUGGCAAACGCGGCUUUUUGGUCUGUAACUGACUCAGACGCGCAAAAGCGUGGAGAGCACACGAGAUUAUAUACCCUGGUACUCCACCCCAUACAAUAUGAGUGCUAAGUGUUAGAGGGUUUCCCCCUUUUAGUGCUGCAUCUAACGUAU
rnacentral:rRNA from 1 species